rnacentral:rRNA from 1 species
AACGAAGCUAACGCGUGAAGUUGACCGCCUGGGGAGUACGGCCGCAAGGUUAAAACUCAAAGGAAUUGACGGGGACCCGCACAAGCGGUGGAUUAUGUGGAUUAAUUCGAUGCAACGCGAAAAACCUUACCUACCCUUGACAUGCCAGGAAGCUCCCAGAGAUGGGAGUGUGCCCGAAAGGGAACCUGGACACAGGUGCUGCAUGGCUGUCGUCAGCUCGUGUCGUGAGAUGUUGGGUUAAGUCCCGCAACGAGCGCAACCCUUGCCAUUAGUUGCCACAUUCAGUUGGGCACUCUAAUGGGACUGCCGGUGACAAACCGGAGGAAGGUGGGGAUGACGUCAAGUCCUCAUGGCCCUUAUGGGUAGGGCUUCACACGUAAUACAAUGGCCGGUACAGAGGGCAGCCAACCCGCGAGGGGGAGCUAAUCCCAGAAAGCCGGUCGUAGUCCGGAUUGCAGUCUGCAACUCGACUGCAUGAAGCCGGAAUCGCUAGUAAUCGCGGAUCAGCAUGUCGCGGUGAAUACGUUCCCGGGUCUUGUACACACCGCCCGUCACACCAUGGGAGUGGGUUCCACCAGAAGUAGUUAGCCUAACCGCAAGGAGGGCGACUACCACGGU